AGUGAACGCUGGCGGUAGGCCUAACACAUGCAAGUCGAACGGCAGCACAGUAAGAGCUUGCUCUUACGGGUGGCGAGUGGCGGACGGGUGAGGAAUACAUCGGAAUCUACUUUUUCGUGGGGGAUAACGUAGGGAAACUUACGCUAAUACCGCAUACGACCUACGGGUGAAAGCAGGGGAUCUUCGGACCUUGCGCGAUUGAAUGAGCCGAUGUCGGAUUAGCUAGUUGGCGGGGUAAAGGCCCACCAAGGCGACGAUCCGUAGCUGGUCUGAGAGGAUGAUCAGCCACACUGGAACUGAGACACGGUCCAGACUCCUACGGGAAGCAGCAGUGGGGAAUAUUGGACAAUGGGGGCAAGCCUGAUCCAGCCAUACCGCGUGGGUGAAGAAGGCCUUCGGGUUGUAAAGCCCUUUUGUUGGGAGAGAAAAGCAGCAGGUUAAUACCCCGCUGUUCUGACGGUACCCAAAGAAUAAGCACCGGCUAACUUCGUG
rnacentral:rRNA from 1 species